rnacentral:rRNA from 1 species
AUGAACGCUGGCGGCGUGCCUAAUACAUGCCAGUCGAGCGAACGGACGAGAAGCUUGCUUCUCUGAUGUUAGCGGCGGACGGGUGAGUAACACGUGGAUAACCUACCUAUAAGACUGGGAUAACUUCGGGAAACCGGAGCUAAUACCGGAUAAUAUUUUGAACCGCAUGGUUCAAAAGUGAAAGACGGUCUUGCUGUAACUUAUAGAUGGAUCCGCGCUGCAUUAGCUAGUUGGUAAGGUAACGGCUUACCAAGGCAACGAUGCAUAGCCGACCUGAGAGGGUGAUCGGCCACACUGGAACUGAGACACGGUCCAGACUCCUACGGGAGGCAGCAGUAGGGAAUCUUCCGCAAUGGGCGAAAGCCUGACGGAGCAACGCCGCGUGAGUGAUGAAGGUCUUCGGAUCGUAAAACUCUGUUAUUAGGGAAGAACAUAUGUGUAAGUAACUGUGCACAUCUUGACGGUACCUAAUCAGAAAGCCACGGCUAACUACGUG